GGGCGCGAUGUUUCAGGUAACUCGGGCAAAGCACGCAUGCUGCUGUGGCUCUGUGGUCAGCCCAUGACGAGAGCCUCGUCCACGUUCCGUGAAAUCUGUGAGUGCUGCCCGAGUCGAGCUACCGUUGCUCACCACCGCCACUUCCUGUCUUCCUACCCAGCGCCGCGGCUCUCGGAGGCUGCCAGUGGCUGGGUGCGCCUGGCCUGAGUCCUCCACCCGAAGAAAAUAAGGAACCUGGCCAGAGAGAGGCAAAAGGAAGAGUCUGCUCCUCAUGUUCCUUCUUGCUGUGGUUUUACCCUCGCCACUUAUUUCGUGGUCAUUCAUUGAAGUAAGGAAGAAGGAAUUGCAUGACUUCCAGGAUCCAGCUUGGUGAGGGCGUGGACGGCAGAGCCCUGAGAUGGGAUCACGUGAAGACGAGCAGGGAACGUCAACAAGGGAGGAGACCUUGGCAAUGCCUGCACAGCCCGCUCAGCCGCGUAGCAGAGCCCUCACAGUCGCUGGCUUCAUGCGGUGUAGAGAAAGCUGGUUAAAUUCAUCUAACUGCAAUUUGCCUUCCAUGUCUAGUCUCCUUUUGGCCAUGAGGAAGAUAAUCCAGCCGGCUAGGUAUAGCUGAAAUGUGACAUAAUCAAUUACAAAUUUGUUGAUUUAGAGCAAGUGAUAGAUACACAGCCCAGAGUAAAUUUCCCAGAGGCUCUUACCACUGUGGGGAGGACAAAGUCUCACUUCCUGAUCAGCAGUGGCCAAGGGAGGCUUUUCUCUGCAUUUGUGAGGCUGUGAUAUCUUUCAUGCACUCCUUUGAAAGUGCUCACCAGCACGAUGGAACACAUUAGCUUAAAUAUUUCUCUUCACAGGUUGCUGUGUCUUUUAACGUAGGCAACUCUUCAUGUAAAUGCUAGUUAGAAAAGAGGUUUUGUUUUGUUUUUCAAGAAAAGUUGCUUUAAUUAAAUAAAGGACAGGAAGUUCCUUCCUGAAUGGUUACAACCCCGUGGAUUAUACAA
ensembl:lncRNA novel transcript